GACGAACGCUGGCGGCGUGCUUAACACAUGCAGGUCGAACGGGAUUUAGUAAACAGAAGCCUCGGUGGAAGAUUACUAAUGAGAGUGGCGAACGGGUGAGUAACGCGUGAGCAACCUGCCUAUGACAGUGGGAUAGCCUCGGGAAACCGGGAUUAAUACCGCAUAAAAUCGUAGAAACACAUGUUUUAACGGUCAAAGAUUUAUCGGUCAUAGAUGGGCUCGCGUCUGAUUAGCUAGUUGGUGAGAUAACAGCCCACCAAGGCGACGAUCAGUAGCCGGUCUGAGAGGAUGAACGGCCACAUUGGAACUGAGACACGGUCCAAACUCCUACGGGAGGCAGCAGUGGGGAAUAUUGCACAAUGGGGGAAACCCUGAUGCAGCGACGCCGCGUGAACGAAGAAGGUAUUCGUAUCGUAAAGUUCUGUCCUAUGGGAAGAUAAUGACAGUACCAUAGAAGAAAGCUCCGGCUAAAUACGUG
rnacentral:rRNA from 1 species